rnacentral:ncRNA from 1 species
CAUAAACCGUUGAGAAAGAGGAGUAAGCUUUUCAUCAACAUUUCAGAGAGCAGCAGGUGGUGGGAUUGCUGUAUGAAGAGAAUUGCUGAAUGGACUUUCGAGGGCAGCCUGAAAUGUAAUCUACAGAGUAGGCGUUGUCGGGAACCAAACCCGUUAUCAAUGAGGAGCGUAUGACAGUACGUGGAAAGUGGACGAUUCGUCAAUUUGAGUGGUACCGCGAUAAUAAUACAUGAUAUUAUUAGCGUCUCAAGC